AGUCGAGCGAGCGGAACUAAAGAUUUACUUCGGUAAUGACGUUAGGAAAGCGAGCGGCGGAUGGGGAGUAACACGUGGGGAACCUGCCCCAUAGUCUGGGAUACCACUUGGAAACAGGUGCUAAUACCGGAUAAGAAAGCAGAUCGCAUGAUCAGCUUUUAAAAGGCGGCGUAAGCUGUCGCUAUGGGAUGGCCCCGCGGUGCAUUAGCUAGUUGGUAAGGUAAAGGCUUACCAAGGCGAUGAUGCAUAGCCGAGUUGAGAGACUGAUCGGCCACAUUGGGACUGAGACACGGCCCAAACUCCUACGGGAGGCAGCAGUAGGGAAUCUUCCACAAUGGACGCAAGUCUGAUGGAGCAACGCCGCGUGAGUGAAGAAGGUUUUCGGAUCGUAAAGCUCUGUUGUUGGUGAAGAAGGAUAGAGGUAGUAACUGGCCUUUAUUUGACGGUAAUCAACCAGAAAGUCACGGCUAACUACGUGCCAGCGGCCGCGGUAAUACGUAGGUGGCAAGCGUUGUCCGGAUUUAUUGGGCGUAAAGCGAGCGCAGGCGGAAGAAUAAGUCUGAUGUGAAAGCCCUCGGCUUAACCGAGGAACUGCAUCGGAAACUGUUUUUCUUGAGUGCAGAAGAGGAGAGUGGAACUCCAUGUGUAGCGGUGGAAUGCGUAGAUAUAUGGAAGAACACCAGUGGCGAAGGCGGCUCUCUGGUCUGCAACUGACGAUGAGGCUCGAAAGCAUGGGUAGUGAACAGGAUUAGAUACCCUGGUAGUCCAUGCCGUAAACGAUGAGUGCUAAGUGUUG
rnacentral:rRNA from 1 species